ACACCAACAGCUUAUGAUCAGAUGAAUUUUAAAGUCUGUGAACAUUGAAGUGGAGUACUUGUGGGUAAUGGCAAAAUCAAGAGCUAAGGAAUCAGGAGAAUUAUUGGUUUUGGAGUAUGAAGAAGAGGAUUUGGAAUCAUCAGGCUGAGGGAAAGCAACUAAACUAUUCCCAGGUGAAAGGAAAAGAACCUUACAUAUUAACAGGUAAGUAACGAGGCAAUCAGGCAAAUCUUCCUGAGAUGUUUGAGAAACUUCUUCAAAGUGUAGGUGGUAAGGAAAUUGCCAAUCAUUUGAAAAUCCUUUGAGUUUGUUCUUAGUGGCUUGAAUGGAGUAGCUACUACAUGCUGCCGUCUCUUUCUCAAGGAAGUAAAUAUUCUGGGGUCCAGUUCUCCAAGUGUGGUUGUAGCACCAGCAUCUCUGCUUCAGUAGACCAUGGCCCAUGAUAUUUCAUUAACUCUGGCUCACAGCUGCUCAGGAAUACCUUGGUAUGCCCCUUUCUAUGAGUUAUGUCACCUUUUCUUUAAUCUCUUCUCCAAAUGACUCUCUUUUCUUCCUUUUUCUGAAUUCAUGUCUCCUGAUAUAAUCCCUAAAUCCAAUAACAAGGAUCGCAAUGGAUUCCAUUCUUCAUCUUCUUCCAGACAAUAGGUCAGAGUGCUUCAUGCCUCUCAAGGGUUCCACACCUCUCUAUGACCUAACUAGCAAAAGGGCGUGGGCCUUCCCACAAACAAAGGCAAGACUCAGUCAAAGUUAUUUUCUUCCCUGAUGCCUGCCGCUGCUCUACCCUUCAAGCCAAACCUUUGAAGAUCGUGCCUGAGAGGAGCUGGGCCACUUACCUCAGCACUUCCUGGGACUGUGCUGUUUCAUCUGGACCUGACCAUUUUCUACCCUAAAAUUAUGCACAUCCUUUCCCCGUGUUCAUCUCCCUUUCCAUCUCUUGCUCUAAAAACUAAUGAAAUUAUCAUCAUUAUCAUUGCCUUUGAAAAAAAAAGGAUGUCAAUUGACUGACCCAUUGUUCUACUCACCAUCUUUGUGACUUCCCACACCCAAUAAUUCCAUUUCUUGGUUUCAAUUCCCAUGCAUAUGUGUUUCUCCUCCAUUGGAAUGUAAGCUUCUUGAGGGCAGAGAUGAUCUGGCUUUUGUAUUUGUAUCCCCAGCACUUAGCAGAUUUCAAAGGCCAUCUAUAUAAAACUAAACCUGGGCUGAAAUCCCAACAAUGUAACAGACAAAUAGCCAUUCUGCCUUUGAUUGAAGACCUCCAAUGAAGAGGACAUUGCUCUCUCCUGAGACAUCCCACUGUAUUUUAAGAUAGCUCUAAACAUGCGUUUUUAACCUGGGGUCCAUGAACUUGUAAUGUAUAUAUAUACAUAUAUGUACAUAUAUGUAUAUAUAUACACAACUGAAUUGCAAUGACUGAUUUCCUUUGUCAUAUUGUGUAUUUUACAAACUUAAAAAUAUUCUGAAAAAGGUUUUUUUUAUCCUUUGCAAGAAUGUCAACAUGAUCCAUGUCAUAAGAAAUGUUAAAAACUCUUAAAUUUUACCAUUCUGACACACAAAAACUUUGGAAUACAGCUAUUUUGUAAACUGAAGAUUGUAUUAUAAUUUCUUAAAAUUUCACCAUGUGGUGUGAA